rnacentral:rRNA from 1 species
GACGAACGCUGGCGGCGUGCCUAAUACAUGCAAGUCGAACGCAGUGGGGACGGGUGAGUAACACGUGGGUAACCUCCCAUCAGAGGGGAUAACCCUUGGAAAAAGGUGCUAACCCGAUAGUUAUGGAUGGCCCCGAGGUGCAUUAGCUAGUGGGUGAGGUAACGGCUCACCAGGGCCACGAUGCAUAGCCGACCUGAGAGGGUGUGUGGCAAAACGGGGACUGAGACACGGCCCAGACUCCUACGGGAGGCAGCAGUAGGGAAUCUUCGGCAAUGGACGAAAGUCUGACCGAGCAACGCCGCGUGAGUGAAGAAGGUUUUCGGAGCGUAAAACUCUGUUGUUAGAGAAGCGGUAUCUAACCAGAAAGCCACGGCUAACUACGUGCCAGCCGCCGCGGUAAUAC